rnacentral:rRNA from 1 species
UACAGAGGGGGCAAGCGUUGUUCGGAAUUACUGGGCGUGAAGGGCGCGUAGGCGGCCUGUUAAGUCGAACGUGAAAUCCCCGGGCUCAACCCGGGAACUGCGUCCGAUACUGGCAGGCUUGAAUCCGGGAGAGGGAUGCGGAAUUCCAGGUGUAGCGGUGAAAUGCGUAGAUAUCUGGAGGAACACCGGUGGCGAAGGCGGGUCUCUGGGCCGAUACUGACGCUGAGGAGCGAAAGCGUGGGGAGCGAACAGG